UCCGAAUUGGUGUAGUGGCCAACAUUUGACGCUCUCAUCUCUUUCCUCUGGAUGCAGAAAAGUGCCGUCAAGCCCAGGGUUCGAUUCCCCGAUUCGGAG